UACGUAGGGGGCUAGCGUUGUCCGGAAUCAUUGGGCGUAAAGCGCGUGUAGGCGGUUCGGUAAGUCCGCUGUGAAAGUCGGGGGCUCAACCCUCGGAUGCCGGUGGAUACUGUCGGACUAGAGUACGGAAGAGGCGAGUGGAAUUCCUGGUGUAGCGGUGAAAUGCGCAGAUAUCAGGAGGAACACCAAUUGCGAAGGCAGCUCGCUGGGACGUUACUGACGCUGAGACGCGAAAGCGUGGGGAUCAAACAGG
rnacentral:rRNA from 1 species